UUAAGCUACUAAGAGCGUAGGGAGAAUGCCUAGGUACCAAGAGCCGAAGAAAGACGUGAUAAGCUGCGAAAAGCCAUGAGGAGAAGCAAAUAUUCUGAGAAUCAUGGAUAUCUGAAUGAGGAAACUCAACUAGCAAGAACAGGCUAGUUAUCUAUACAUGAGUAAAGUAAUGUAUAGAGGGGAACGUGGGGAACUGAAACAUCUAAGUACCCACAGGAAAAGAAAGAAAACUCGAUUCCUAGAGUAGUGGCGAGCGAAAUAGGAAGAGCCCAAACCAGAAGAAGAAAUUCAUCUGGGGUUCGGACUACAUAAUUGAUUCAAUGAGUUUAGUAGAAUUGUUUGGGAAAGCAAACCAGAGACGGUGAAAGUCCAGUAUACGAAAAGCGAAUUGACAAGGUAGUAUCCAGAGUAGUGCGAGGCACGUGAAACCUCGUAUGAAAGAGCGGGGACCACCCCGUAAGGCUAAAUACUAAUUGGUAACCGAUAGUGAAGAAGUACCGUGAGGGAAAGUUGAAAAGAACCCCGGGAGGGGAGUGAAAUAGAACCUGAAACCCUAUGUUUACAAGCAGACAGAGCACGUUAAGGUGCGAUGUCGUACUUUUUGUAGAACGGUCCGGCGAGUUAUUUUAUAUGGCAAGGUUAAGUACUGAAGGUACGGAGCCGAAGAGAAAUCGAGUCUGAAGAGGGCGAAAAAGUCAUAUGAAAUAGACCCGAAACCGAGUGACCUAUCCAUGGUCAGGAUGAAGCUUGAGUAAAAUCAAGUGGAGGUCCGAACUGAUAAGCGUUAAAAAGCUUCCGGAUGAACUGUGGAUAGCGGAGAAAUUCCAAUCGAACUCGGAGAUAGCUGGUUCUCCUCGAAAUAGCUUUAGGGCUAGCCUUGUUAAGUAGCAGUUGGAGGUAAAGCACUGAAUGUGUGAGGGAUCCUACCAGAUUACCGAGCACUAUCAAACUAAGAAUGCCAAUUGUGUAAAAACAGGAGUCAGACAGUGACAGACAAGUGCCAUUGUCAAAAGGGAAAGAGCCCAGACCAACAGCUAAGGUCCCAAAAUUAUAGUUAAGUGGAAAAGGAUGUUAGAACUCAUAGACAACUAGGAUGUUGGCUCAGAAGCAGCCAUACAUUUAAAGAGUGCGUAACAGCUCACUAGUCGAUGUGGUCUAGCGCCGAAAAUUACCGGGGCUAAACUAUAUACCGAAGCUUUGGAUUGCAUAUCAAAGGAUGUGUAGUGGUAGAGGAGCGUUGUAUACAGGAUGAAGCUAUACUGAGAAGAGUAGUGGACGGUAUACAAGUGAGAAUGCCGGAAUAAGUAGCGAGAGGAUGGUGAGAAUCCAUCCCACCGAAAACCUAAGGUUUCCUGAGGAAGGUUCGUCCGCUCAGGGUAAGUCGGGGCCUAAGGCGAGGCUGAAAAGCGUAGUCGAUGGGAAGCAGGUAAAAGAUUCCUGCACUACCGAAAUGUAUUGAAUAUAUGGGGACGCAUUAGUAGAGACUAAGCGUGCAAAUGGAAAAGUGCGUACCGCAAGGUGGAGUGAAAAAUAGUAGUGAAGUAGUUAAAGCUAGUGACAAGAAAAGCCAUAUAGGAGCAUAGAGGUACUCGUACCGCAAACCGACACAGGUAGGUGGAAAGAGAAUUUUCAGGUGAGCGAGAUAAAUGUUGUUAAGGAACUCGGCAAAUUAACCCCGUAACUUAGGGAGAAGGGGAGCCUAUAGAGAUAUAGGUCGCAGUGAAAAGGCCCAAGCAACUGUUUAACAAAAACACAGGUUUCUGCAAAAUCGAAAGAUGAAGUAUAGGAGCUGACGCCUGCCCAGUGCUGGAAGGUCAAGGGGAAGGCUAAGGAGCAAUCCGAAGGUCUGAACUUAAGCCCCAGUGAACGGCGGCCGUAACUAUAACGGUCCUAAGGUAGCGAAAUUCCUUGUCAGGUAAGUUCUGACCCGCACGAAAGGCGUAAUGAUUUGGGCACUGUCUCAACAACAGUCUCGGCGAAAUUGUAGUACUAGUGAAGAUGCUAGUUACCUGUGAUAAGACAGAAAGACCCCAUGGAGCUUUACUGUAGCUUGAUAUUGAGACUAGGUAGAGGAUGUACAGAAUAGGUGGGAGACUAAGAAGCAUGGACGCCAGUCUAUGUGGAGUCACCUUUGGGAUACCACUCUUCUUCUACUUGGAAUCUAACUAAUUGCCGUAAACCGGUAAUAGGACAGUGUCAGGUGGGCAGUUUGACUGGGGCGGUCGCCUCCUAAACAGUAACGGAGGCGUUCAAAGGUUAGCUGAGCACGGUCAGAAAUCGUGUAUACAAGUGCAAAGGCAGAAGCUAGCCUGACUGCGAGACUGACAGGUCGAGCAGAUGCGAAAGCAGGACUUAGUGACCCGAUGGUAGUGAGUGGAAAUGCCAGAGCUCAACGGAUAAAAGUUACCCUGGGGAUAACAGGCUUAUCUCCCCCGAGAGUCCAUAUCGACGGGGAGGUUUGGCACCUCGAUGUCGGCUCAUCGCAUCCUGGAGCGGUAGUACGUUCCAAGGGUUGGGCUGUUCGCCCAUUAAAGCGGUACGCGAGCUGGGUUCAGAACGUCGUGAGACAGUUCGGUCCUUAUCUGUCGCAGGCGGAGGAUAUUUGAAGGGAGUUGACCUUAGUACGAGAGGACCAGGUUGAAGGAACCGAUGGUGCACCAGUUGUACUACCAAGUGCAUAGCUGGAUAGCUAAGUUCCGAAGGGAUAAACGCUGAAAGCAUCUAAGUGUGAAGCCCACCCUAAGAUAAGAUAUCCCAUACCGUAAGGUAGUAAGAUUCCAUUAAGACUAAAUGGUUGAUAGGUUGGAGGUGUAAGUAUAGUGAUAUAUUGAGCUGACCAAUACUAAUAAAUCGAGGGCUUAACUAU
rnacentral:rRNA from 1 species